rnacentral:rRNA from 2 species
UGACCUCGGAUUAGGUAGGAAUACCCGCUGAACUUAAGCAUAUCAAUAAGCGGAGGA